GAGGGAACCAAUUUAAUUUUUUAAAAACAGAAAGAAAUAGGUAAAAAUUCAAAAAAAAAUUUUGAAAAUUUGACGGAUGAAAUCGACAUUCAAAAUAAAAAGAAAUAUUGAAAAGCUGGAUCUUUCAAUCUAUUGAACAGAAAAGGGGAUUAGAUACCCUCGUAUUCAGUAUAAAAAAAAGUUAGUAGUAGUAAGGUGGUACAAGCCUGAAACUAAAAAAAAAUGGCGGUGUUUCUAGACCGUUCGGAGGAAUUUGUCUCGUAAUCGAUGAUCCCCGAAGAAAAUACUGUGAAUUUUAUAGUUUGUAUACCGUUGUUGUCAGAAAAUUUUUGUAGCGAAAAUUUUUGUAACUUUCUUGGUUCUAGGCCUAUAGAGUUAAAUCAAAUCAAGGUGCAGCUUAUGCCACAGUGAAGAUGAAUUACAAUAACUAAAAGAAGUUAAAAAAAAAACGAAUUAAAAUUUGUAAAAAAAAAUUUUAGGAAGGCGGAUUCGAAAGUAAUUUCUUUGCAUCUUUAAGGUAAAGAAAUGAGUGAGGCUCUGAAACAUGCACACAUCGCCC
rnacentral:rRNA from 1 species